ACCACUGUCAAUCUAUCUACCACUGCUAAUCUAUGCCACUGCCAAUCUAUCUAUUGCUGCUAAUCUAUUGCUGCUGUCAAUCUAUCUACUGCUGUCAAUCUAUCUAUCGCUGUCAAUCUAUCUACCACUGCUAAUCUAUUGCUGCUAAUCUAUCGCUGCUAAUCUAUUGCUGCUAAUCUAUCUAUCACUGCUAAUCUAUUGCUGCCAAUCUAUCUACCGCUGCCAACCUAUCUACCACUGCCAAUCUACCUACCGCUGUCAAUCUAUCUACCACUGCUAAUCUAUCACUGCUAAUCUAUCGCUGCUAAUCUAUUGCUGCUAAUCUAUUGCUGCUAAUCUAUUGCUGCUAAUCUAUCUAUCACUGCUAAUCUAUCGCUGCCAAUCUAUCUACCGCUGCCAACCUACCUACCGCUGCCAAUCUAUCUACCACUGCUAAUCUAUCACUGCUAAUCUAUCGCUGCUAAUCUAUUGCUGCUAAUCUAUUGCUGCUAAUCUAUUGCUGCUAAUCUAUUUAUCACUGCUAAUCUAUCACUGUCAAUCUAUCUACCACUGCCAAUCUAUCUACUGCUGUCAAUCUAUCUAUCACUGCCAACCUAUCUACCACUGCUAAUCUAUCACUGCUAAUCUAUCACUGCCAAUCUAUAUAGAGUAAAUCAUGAUCCCAUUUGAUUCCAUUUUGUAAAAUGGAAUCAAAUGAAACUGGGAUCACUAAUUUAUUAGUAAAACAUGAUCUGGGACUAGAUUUAUAAUAUAAACAGUGUAAAGUGACUAAUUUACUAAACACUAUAUGGAACCAGAACUAAGAUAUCUAAUAAUAGGACUGAGGAAAAAUUUGAUCCCAGUUCCAUGCAUGGUCACACGGCCAGUCUAUAAAUAAAUAAAAACAGA
rnacentral:sRNA from 2 species